AAAGUCCCUGUUUAUCAUCUUGCUCAUGUGGUCACGCAGCAUGCACCACCACCGCACCAGCUCUGCUUUUCCCACUCUCUUAAUCCCAAUCCUAAGAACCCCAGAAAACCCUAGCCUCUCCUUUCCCACCUCGCGCCGCCACUCUCCCGUCUCUCUUCUCUGUAGAACGACCGAGAACGCCGCCUCAGGUCGCCGACGCCCUGCCGCCACGGAUCAUCCCGUGCCUCGCCGAAACUACCAGGAGCUCCGCCUUAUCGCCAGGACCGUCCUCGUCCAAGGAAUCAAGCCGGGAAGCCCCUAAUCGAUGCAAACGGCCCAUUCUCUUCUCCAACCCCGGCGAAAACAUCGUCAAUUUCGCCGCCGGUCGGCCACCUCCGGCCUUCCCGACGUGUUCUAUCACUUCCUGGUGAGUUCCUCCUCUGUUUCGAUCAAGAUCAAGAUGUAUCCAACCUCUUUCUGUUGCCCUCCAAAACUGACGAAACUGUCGCCUCUGUCUGCACGAGUGCAUCUCCGCGAUGGUCGACGCAGGCCUCCGCGCCGCACGCGCUCGUCCCUGCCGUCCUUCUUCCCAGCUGUUGACCUCGUCGUCUCUGCUCUGGUCGAACCCUCCCUGUCCUCGGUCUGCUACACGGUCCGUUUUCAAGUUGCUUCACGUCUCCAUCGGCAACAUCUGCACAGUAGCCGACUGAUUUUUGUGGCCGAAGAAGCUUCAGUUUAGGCAUGCGCCCUUCACAAUCAGCAACAACAGCAUAGCUCAGCUGGACAUGAGUUCAAUUCGUGGCGAGUCGAAUUAAUCCGCUGGCCAUCAUGCACGGCAGCAUUUGCUUCUUCCCGGAUAGGAUCGCGAAGUGGUGUGGUGAGAUACGACAAGUUCUCCGGUUGUUCCUCGGCAAGCUUUAACA